rnacentral:rRNA from 1 species
CCUACGUGUGGCAGCAGUGGGGAAUAUUGCACAAUGGGGGAAACCCUGAUGCAGCGAAGCCGCGUGAGUGAAGAAGUAUUUCGAUAUGUAAAGCUCUAUCAGCAGGGAAGAAAAUGACGGUACCUGACUAAGAAGCCACGUCUAACGACGUGCCAGCAGCCGCGGGAAUACGAAGGGGGCAAGCGUUAUCCGGAUUUACUGGGUGGAAAGGGAGCGUAGGCGGCAAGGUAAGCCAGAAGUGAAAGCACGCGGCUCAACUGCGGUACUGCUUUUGGAACUAUCUAGCUAGAUUGCAGGCGAGGUGAGUGGAAUUCCUAGUGUAGCGGUGAAAUGCGUAGAUAUUAGGAGGAACACCAGUGGCGAAGGCGGCUUACUGGACUGUAAAUGACGCUGAGGCUCGAAAGCGUGGGGAGCAAACAGGAUUAGAUACCCUUGUAGUC